rnacentral:lncRNA from 1 species
UUCAGUGAUCUAUAUGACUAUAUUGCAGAAAUGUUCAGAUGACUAUGUUGCACCAAUAUUCGGUGAUCUGUACUAUUCAAUACAACAAAAUAUCAGUUAACUAUGAAGAACAACUUAGUUAUCUACUUUACAUACACUGCACACAGUCCUACAUCUCUAAUGCAUUGCACUUGCACACACUCAGCACAUAUAUCAGUUCAGUGCAGCGCACACAUUCAGUACAUCACCUAUCAUGAAAAUUCAGUUAACUAUACAAUCAGGUGUCACCAAAAUUCAGUUAACUUCAUCUGUACCCAAAAUUCAGUUACAAAUCUUUCUAAUUUUUCAGUUCGAACAAUCUCCAGAUUUGAGCAGAAAUGACGAACAAGGCAAAUGAUCACAUCUGAGCAAUAUUAUAGGAUAAUUUGUUGCGCACACAAGCAUAACCAACUACUUUGACAGGAAGAGGCGCCUACUUCCAAAACCCCCAAAUAAACCCUAGCAAAACUCAGGAACAAUGUGCCCAUAUCUACUCCGCAACAGUCCACAUACACAAUAUCUCGCAUGACAUGGACGAAAGAUGAAGAUCAAGCACGCCAGAAAAUUACUCUCACUCCGGCAAACCCUACACGAUGUCAUGGACGAGGAAGAGAUACUCAUCAUGCAUGAAAACAGGGAGGGUGUGAGUUACCAUACGAAGGAGUUGCUUCGUCUGUAAGACGACGACGCGGGUCGUCCAUCGCCUCCGACGCCGAUUGCGGUGCCACAGGACCUCCGCCAUCGCAGCCUCGGAUUGAUCGCGAAUCGUGCGAAAGAGAAAGCAGAGACGAGGAAACAAAGCGGCGGGGAGUUAGAAUGAAAGGCCACAGCCUUCGAGGUACCUAUGCGCAAACAUAACACACAAUCACUUCUCGCUGUUGGAGGGACUUCUUGGGAUAAUUAAUUGAAUCCCAAGUGGUUUUAUACAAAAUAACCACAACACCCAGCUUUGCCCACGCUCACACCCACUGACAUGUGGGACAUACGCCAGCUUUCAAGCCACCCACGCGGCGGCGUACGAGCGAAGGCACCGUAUAUACACCAUUUGGACAAGUUAUGGCACCACUUUUACAUAUUUUGCAACUUGAGGCACUAAACUGAACGCGCCGAACAAGUUUAGGCACUUGUGGUGUAUUUACCUCUAGAUAAAACAAUACCAUGCAUGUCGAAUUAUCGGUCCAGCACAUUCUUUUUCAAUCCCAUCCAGCAAAGCCAUUGAUCAUGGUUGCAAGAAAUAAUACUAGGUACAGACAAAAAAUAUAUAUAUAAUGAAAUAGAUGGUUGUCGAUAGAAUGCAGUAUCAUAAAUAUCUGAGUAGACAAGCAUGCUAAGGAAUAACUGAUUUAAGCUGCGCCACCCUCUCCAUUCAUUGUCUCAUCUAGAACUCCUGCUUUUUGGCGUUUUGCUCUUCACUCUUCAGGCUGUACCUACAAUUUUCAAAGAGAAGUGUAAGCAUGAUUUCCUCUUGCUAUUCAUUUCAUCUGAUCUCUUUGUGGAUCCAAAGCAGACACCAGAUAGUGAUUGGUAUGGCGGCAGAAACUAAGCAAGAAAUAGCAAGCCCAAGUGCAUAUGAAGUGUUAUGUGGUAAGGGUGCUUAUUAUUAUGACAACCAAAAAUAAAGUCAAAACCACUGUCAUAGGCUCCUAGCACACCGACAGUGAGAAUUUUUUGAAGGGGUAGCCUCGCAGUAAGAUGCAAGAAAAUAGAUUAUUUUCAGAGCUCCCUCCUCACUCACUCAAGAAAAUAGUCUACAAUAUGGACUCCCUGCAUGUUUGGGGGAAGCAGGAUAGAUAUGAUGUCACUGUAGCUGGACGCUGGCCAACAAGUAGUAGCACUACACCUUACUCUCCCUUCUACAUAUGUCUCUUCUGCACCUCCUGCCUUAGCCUUGGAAGCAGCACUUAACAAGAUUUGAACCAAAUGCUCCUUUAGCCUUCGCAAUUUCAGUGAGAAAUUUCUACUUCUGAUUGUGUUCUUGCAUAAUUAGCUAGAGUGUGGACUAGCCAAUUCUUUGGUUCUUUGCAAAUUAUUAUGAGGGCUGUAUCUAGCUAGGUCUACAUGAAAAUUUUGAUCUACUUGUGAUGGUGUUGUUCGAUUAGCUAAUUUCAGAGAUUCUUUGUGUGACGAGUACCAGAAUCGAUGCACUCUAGCUAGCUGCAGCAGUACUAGAAUCAAUGCACCAAUGUAAAAAAAGCUACCCCCUCCAUCCCUAACUACAUGGCGCCCUCGUUUUCCAUGACUAAACUUUGACCGUAACUUUAACCCAUUAUAUAUUAAGUAUCUAUGUCAUAAAAAGUAUAGCACUGGAAACUACAUAUUAAUACGAAUUUAACAGUAUAAUCUUUGUGACAUUAUAGCCUAUGUUUUGUUGGUCAAAUAUCUGCAUGCCAAGUAAAUAGAGACGGAGGGAGUAAACCACAUAACCAAAGGAACAAAGGUGGACAAGUGUGGUUCCUGACUAAUCAAAAAUCAAGAUGCAAACAGAUAAUUAACUGCAAGUUCCUCCGAAAACAUAGCAUAUAUUUUUCACACGCAGCUACACGACAUAAUUAGCAUUUCCAUCAAUGCAGAACAUGGUACCUGAUGAUAGUCUAUCUAUGACACAACUACAAACGUCUCCAGGACCUAGUUCACGCAGUCUUUCAUUUUCCUAUAAGCCCUUAAUAGCCUAUUUGGAGAUGAUAAGCACCAAGCCAUCUCCUCCAUGUAAUGAUUUGUUAAAAGUGUUUUCUAUUUAUGCUCAAACUCUAAAAAAGUCAAAACCUAACCUUCCAUCUGUCCAAUCAAUCAACAUCCUGACACGAAAAUUCCAGCCACCGAAUACAAAAGAAAUGGAAAUCAGUAGCAAUGCCUAAUAAAACCUGAUCCACAGAGGAGCUCAGGAUAGAGCCCCAUAACAAACCAUGCUACAUGAGUGUACUCGCAGCCUAAACCCUAGCUCAAAGCGUCACAAAGCAAGCUUCGGUCGAUUGAAGGAGAGAGAUGUCAAAAUCGAACAGAAACAAAUAGGAGGGAGAGAUAGGGGAAUCAUACCAUCGCUGAAGCUGGCGCCUUGGCAUUUCCUGCUGAUGCCCGUACUUCUUCAAAAAACUUCUCGAGUGUCUGCAAACAAAGAGAACCACAAUGUGAAAUUGAGAAAUAUAUUUGUAUUAGAAAUAAAUAAGGGUAAGUGUAAACAAUGUUAUUCGUAUUACAUACCUUAGUUUUGUAUAUCCUCAUCAGAUUCUGUUUUAUUUGGGUCACAGUGAGAGCAAUGGAUGGGCCUUGUAUGUUCAGAAUACAUAGGCCGACAAGUUUACCCUUUCCAGAAAAAACAGGUGCACCUUGGCCAGUGUGCAAGCUUUGAGCACAAUUAUGGACAAAAUUGACUUCCUCUGUAUCC